CGGGUGAGUAAUACAUCGGAACGUGCCCAGUAGUGGGGGAUAACCCGGCGAAAGCCGGACUAAUACCGCAUACGACCUACGGGUGAAAGCAGGGGAUCGCAAGACCUUGCGCUAUCGGAGCGGCCGAUGUCAGAUUAGCUUGUUAGUGGGGUAAAAGCCCACCAAGGCGACGAUCUGUAGCUGGUCUGAGAGGACGACCAGCCACACUGGGACUGAGACACGGCCCAG
rnacentral:rRNA from 1 species